GAUGAACGUUGGCGGUGUGCCUAAUACAUGCAAGUCGAACGGAGUUAAUAGCAAUAUUGACUUAGUGGCGAACGGGUGAGUAACGCGUUGGUGAUCUGCCUUGAAGUGUGGAAUAACGCUCCGAAAGGAGCGCUAAUACCGCAUGUGCUCUCAAUUUUUAGAAAGUUGAGAGGAAAGGAUUUAUUCGCUUCGAGAGGAGCCUGCGUCCCAUCAGCUGGUUGGUAGGGUAAAGGCCUACCAAGGCAAUGACGGGUAGGGGGCCUGAGAGGGUGGCCCCCCAAAUGGAACUGAAACACGGUCCAUACACCUACGGGUGGCAGCAGUAGGGAAUAUUAGUAAUGGGCGAAAGCCUGAACUAGCAACGCCGCGUGUGCGAAGAAGGCCUUCGGGUCGUAAAGCACUUUUUGAGAGGAUGAGGAAGGACGGUACUCUCAGAAUAAGUCUCGGCUAACUACGUG
rnacentral:rRNA from 1 species